AUGGCUUCCAGGACAUGGCAUUUCUUGCUCGCCCUCUCCCUCCUGUCCUCCGCCGCGUAUGGGCAGCUCUCGCCGUCCUUCUACGUCACGAGCUGUCCCCUGCUGGAGCUCACCGUGCGUGCCACCAUGAUCGCCACGCUCCUCGCCGAGCGCCGAAUGGGUGCCUCCCUCCUCAGGCUCCACUUCCAUGACUGCUUUGUUCAAGGCUGUGACGGAUCCAUUCUUCUGGAUGACGUGGGCAGCUUCGUCGGCGAGAAGACGGCCUUCCCGAACGUGAACUCCGUGCGCGGCUACGAAGUGAUCGACCGGAUCAAGGCGAACGUGGAGCUUGUCUGCCCCGGCGUCGUCUCCUGCGCCGACAUCGUCGCCCUCGCCGCACGCGACGGCACGUUUCUGCUAGGCGGGCCGAGCUGGGCGGUGCCGCUGGGCCGGCGGGACUCGACGACGGCGAGCCUGGCGGAGGCGAAUCUCCCGGGGCCGACGCUGAACCUGGACCAGCUCAUCCGCGCGUUCGACAAGAAGCAGCUGACCCCGAGGGACCUCACAGCGCUCUCCGGCGCCCACACCAUCGGCUUCUCGCAGUGCCAGUUCUUCCGUGACCACAUCUACAACGGCACCAACAUCGACCCGGCAUUCGCGGCGCCGCGCCGGCAGACCUGCCCCGCCGCGGCCCCCACUGGUGACGCCAACCUGGCGCCGUUCGACGUGCAGACGCAGCUCGUCUUCGACAACGCCUACUACCGCAACCUGGUCGCGCAGCGUGGCCUGCUGCACUCGGAUCAGGAGCUCUUCAACGGCGCCUCCCAGGACGCGCUGGUGCGCCAGUACGCGUCCAGCCCGGCGCUCUUCGCGGCCGACUUCGUGGCCGCCAUGAUCAAGAUGGGGAACAUCGCCCCCCUCACCGGGGCCAGCGGCCAGAUCAGGCGCAACUGCAGGGUGGUCAACAGCUGA
rnacentral:rRNA from 1 species